rnacentral:rRNA from 1 species
AUACGGAGGGGGCUAGCGUUGCUCGGAAUUACUGGGCAUAAAGCGCACGUAGGCGGUCUAGUAAGUGUGAAGUGAAAUCCCACGGCUCACCCGUGGAACUGCUUUGCAAACUGCUAGACUCGAGGAAGGUAGGGGAGAGCAGAACUCUUGGAGGAGCGGUGAAAUGCGUAGAUAUCAAGAGGAAUACCAGUGGCGAAGGCGGCUCUCUGGUCCUUUUCUGACGCUGAGGUGCGAAAGCUAGGGUAGCGAACGGGAUUAGAAACCCCUGUAGUCC